CAUAAAGGAGGGGACAGAUUUUUAAAAGAAAAAACUUGGAACAAAAAAAACGAUAUUUAGUGCAAACUAAAAGAGUGAAAACGAGUGGGAAAACGCUUGGAAACAUCAUAAAAUAGCAAGCACUCACGAAUAUAUCGGAGUUCUCGAUCGGGUCUGCGGUUUUCCGUCAAGCUUCUUUUGUGGUUAGCGAUCUUCGACUUCUUGUUGCUUCUUCGUUCGAUUGAAACUGUUGCGACGUUCGAGUUGUAUUUGCGGAUAUUCCUUGUAUUAUUGAAAGAAAAAUAGGCGCUUUGCUUGAGAAAUCAACGGAUUCGAGGACAACAAACACUUCCCCAUACUAGUGGUGCUAUAAGUUUGGCUAGAAGAAGGGCUUUGAUGAAGAAAACAGGGAAAAGAAGUUGAUCGCGGCAAAGUGUGGACUGAGACUCAUAAGAGGAAAGAUGGGAGUUAUAUGAAUGAUCAAGCUAGGGAGAUUGGGGAAAGAAUUGAAGAAAUUCGAAGACAAAGACCAAAAACUCGGGCAGAAAUUUCCCCGAAUGACGUGCUUGGUAUAGUCUUCGGUCCAGAGCACCCUGGCCGUGUUCGAGGCUUAGGCAUGGGUGCAAUUCCAACUGUAUAAUUCAAGCAAACAUCAAGACGAGGCGGUGGUUCUUAUAUGGGCGCAGCUAGCACUAGUGCUCCACCUCCACAAUGGGUGCAAGAGAUGGCAAAUAUGAGAUCACAAUUAAAUGUGCUAACAAGCUUAUUUCAAAUGAAAAUAGGAAAUAUCCCCGAGGAGUUUGCUCACUUCGACUCCUUCACAGGUAAAUCUUCUCUUUAUUUUUUCUUGGUCUAUCAAGAAAAGUUCAAGGGGGUCUAGUGAUACUUUCUUCAGUUUUCACUGCAAGUUUAGCUAAUGCAUUGUCAUAUGAAGAGGCACUUCAGCAAUCAACUACUAGUACUUCAACUGCUGAUUUUGAUACAAAUGCCUUUGUUGAAAUUGUGACAAAUGAAACUUGUUUAACAAUAGCAUUACUCAGGAUAAUUGUUCUCUGAUGGUAUAUACUUCGUUGUAUCUUCUGAGUUGUUAGUUAGAAAUUGGUGUAUUUAGCACCAGGGUAAUGACAUUAUGUGCAAUAAGGGAGACCAAUUGUUCAUGUAUUAUCUAUUGUUCUGGUGAUUGUACUGUAUCUGUUUGGAAUAUAAUUGCUGCACUGCACUUAUGUCAAUGAAAUCAACAUCAAGCUCCCUAAAUAAGCUGCAUUGAGUCAUUUUAUACACAGGAAGUUAAGAUGAAAAGGAUACUUGUUCCUGGAUUUGAAUUAGUUAACAAUUUCAAGGAAACAUUUGCUUUUCAAGAGUAGCUAUAGGAGAUCAUAUAAUUGUUCUCUAGACAUCAGUGACCCUACUUGCUGGCAUCUCAUCUUGCACCAAUCUAUAUUUUUAGUCCUAAAAGUAUCCAUUAAACAGCUAUAUCAUUUUCGACGUUGAUGUUCUGUACCUCGAGAUUCUAAAACCUGGGCUAGUUUCAAAUUAUCUAGGAGAUCCAUCAAAUAAGAUUGGACAUCAAUGUGGCUGCCUUGUGCAAGUGUUCCGGAUAUAACACCGGAAUUGUGACUACUCUGUGAUGCUUUUAACUGUCUUUCCAAGCCUUAGAAUUCUUCCUUCACAGUUUUAGGCAUAACCAGAUCUAACUUCUUGUAGGAACCUAAACUUUUGGAUAGAAAUGUUGCUUAGAAAAGUGGAUUGAAGGUGUGUAUGAGUCUAAUAAGUUGUUUUAUUUCAUAAAUUACUUUCUUUGUGGAUAAGUAGAUAAUCCAUUUGUUAACUUGCUUGUAUUUCCUCAAUAUAUUGCAACAGUGUAACAAUUUCACUUUGAAUAUCUUUAUUACAUAUAUAUUUGCUUUUUCAACUUAUUUGCUUGAAUCCAUUGUCUGUGCUCAAGUAUAAGAGAAGAUGUAUUUGCUGAAAAUAUGUAAAAACAAUAUCAUACUGGCUAUAUAAAGAGAAUCCUUUAGUGGUUUGCUUCAAGAAUGUAUAACAUGGUAAGUUGCAGGUGGCUUCUUAGUAUAUUUGGUUGAUGGUCAACAUAGCAGUGAUUGUAUAUGAAGUAUAUUUUCCUGUUUCAAAUCAACCUAAUUUAACUGUAAGUUUGUAACAUAGGUUGGGAACUUUAUCCCAUUUCAAAUCAACCUAAAUUCCGCUGUUAUUUCCACUCUUCCAGCCCCUAUACUUUUUAUUGUAAUUGUACCGUAGCUAUCUUUUUCAUCUGUUUAUUAUCUUCAAUAUUACUUGGUUGAGCAAAAGUUCUAUUGAAUUUUUUGGUGUCUCAAGCCUCAAUGUUGUUUCAGCCACUUCUUCAAUUGUGACCUUAUAUUGUUUCGCCCAUUUCAAAGAAUUAGAAUCUUGGUUCCUCCAAUUUCAAUGUUAUGUUAUGCAUGCACCCAAUCUAGGAGAUGGCGUUGGAGAUGGCAUUGGAGAUGGCGUUCCGUCACCAACUAGGCUUAGAAGAUCCUUUGACGGAAGUAACUAUGAAAAUGGAGCAAACAACAAUUAGUAAUCAUUGUUAGGAUGAACUGUAUUUUUUUGUGUUGUAACGAUUGAGUAACUCUCUUACCUCUAUGCACCAUAAACUUGAAUC